UGCCAGCCGCCGCGGUAAUACUGGGGUAGCGAUCGUUGUUCGGAAUCACUGGGCGCAAAGCGUGCGCAGGCGGUUUGAUAAGUCAGAAGUGAAAGCCCAGGGCUCAACCCUGGAACUGCUUUUGAAACUAUCUUACUAGAGUAUGGUAGAGGUUGGGAGAAUUCCUAGUGUAGAGGUGAAAUUCGUAGAUAUUAGGAGGAAUACCAGUGGCGUAGGCGCCCAACUGGACCAUUACUGACGCUCAGGCACGAAAGCGUGGGGAGCAAACAGGAUUAGAUA
rnacentral:rRNA from 1 species